AAUAAUCACGCUCCAACGAAUUGUUUCAUGGUUCCAUUCUGAAAGGUAUAUAUGCCUAAUUAACCUGGGUCUUCUUAUAUAUUCUGGCAGAAUCGGAUUAUGUUAUAACUUAUGUUGAUAAAUCAACCAUGCAGACUGAUACAUCUGUUUUCCAUUGUGAACCCAUUGAAUAACAGGGAAGCGUUUGGGAACAUGGGUGGUCUUCAUUAGUUGAUAAGGGCAGUUUGGAAUCAUAUUCUUCCAUCCGCAGCUCCCGAAUCACAACCACUUAUUUCUUUAUAUACCAUUUCACAAAGAAAAUAAUAGUGUUCGUUGAAAUCUGGAUCACCAUGGAUUAUGCCAUGGGUUGUGUUACUGUGUACAUAGCGUAUUUGCUAAAAUGUUUUCAUGUGUUAACCUGGAUUUAUGGCAUGUGGCUAUGAUGAAUGUGUAGAUGCGAUUAAGAUUGGCGUGGCAAAUUCGGAGGAUGGCAGGUGUUCACAUGCAACCUCCAUUGCAGCCAUGGUUGGCUACCCUUUACACGCUCUGAGCCUGGUCAUUUACUCUAUAUGCUUUACGAAACUUGAGAAAUGAGUACCUUUUGGUGCAAUAUCCGUUGGCGAUGAUGAUGAAAUGUGAGCCUGAACUGUGAACUACAAACAAUAUGAAACGGGUCAGGUUUACAACGCUACUUAUGUGGUAUGAGUUUGCGAGCAUAUGAUUAAGAUAUUGUGAGAUUUUGGUUGAAGCUCAGGCACAGGCUUGACAGGUACAAAACUUAAAUGUUUUUAAUAUCAUUGUUUUAUUAUAUCCUUUUUAGAUUUGGAUCAUUGAUUAGAUAAGGGGUUUGCUUUGAAAUGUUUGUAUAGUUGGGAUUGAUUUGAAAUGUUUAUAGAGUUCAGAUUGAUUUUUCAACAAUUGAAGUCACAUUUGAGCGUGUGAUAGUGGAGGCUGAUGUUAAUACAUUAAGCAGGAAGCCGAGCCAUACCAAGUUUUGUAAACUUUUAUAUUGAUUUUUUUUUUUUUUUUUGAGGUUAGAAAAAGACACCAACUUCAAUAGGCAUGUUUCAUUAAUGUGGAAGUUUAUGAGAUUUGAGAAGUGGAAAUAAUAAUACUUGAAGCCGAGUCUGGGCUUUAACGGUUGCUAAGGGCGGUGUCUGGGCUUCAUUGUUUGCCUGAACUAAACGACAAAAAGUUCCUGAUGAUAGUGUUGUUUAGGGUUUGUUAGCCUGAACUAAACGCCUUUUGCCUUUGUUUUACACUAACCCGGAACCCUAGGUGGUGGUAUUGUGAUGGUUCGGUGGCGUUAAGAAAGAUGUCCAGAUACGUUCUCUUCAAUUGUUAGGAUUUUAUUCUGGGAUUGAUUUUGGACUACUUUUGGCUGGUUGUGGUUUAACGAUGGCCAAUAUUGUCGUUGGUUUACUACUUAGGGGUUUGAAGGCAGUUAACUCCUCCAUCAGUUGGCGAUAGAGCCGCAUAUAUUGGUACUGACAUACGAAAAAUAUAAUGGUUUUAAGUUUUAUUUGCCUUAAUAUGAUACAGUUCAACCAUCAUAGGCUGAUAUACUGGAUUAAUGAUGAUUCAAACAUACACAUAAAUAGUGUAUUACUUUUACCUUCUGUGGAUUCAUGAAAUGCUUGAAUCAUACGUACCUGCAUACGUUCAUCAAUCAAAAGUGUUCUUCAUAAACUUGCGAAGACGCCUCAUGAAACCACCUUUAUUUUCUCUCUUCUUCUCCUUAUGAGGCCCUGACAUACAUGAUGGUUGGUAAAGAUUGUUCUUUUGCGUGGUAAAAAGGUGCAACAGGCUGUGAUGACGGUGGUGAAGAUUGUUGACUGGCUUGGCAUAAUCGAGGAUGGCAAGUGCAAUUUUAUGCACUUGCAACCCAUGUUAGAGUCAUGGCGGUCCAACAACUACAUCUGAGCCUAAUCAUUUUUAUUUUGAGGUGGUUUUAUUUGUUUUUAUUACAAAGUGUUUUAGCAGAUGUGUUUUGUGCGUUCCAUUCAACCAAAUCUGAGCAAGAUGUUGCAACUUAGAGAUACGUCAUUGAAGCGCUUCAGGUUAGUUUUCAUUUAUUUGGUAUUGCCUGAUCAAAAAAACAGCUGAAUAGUUGAUUUAAUUAUUUAGCUUUAUUUUGUAAAAAUAUGAAACAACAAAUGCUUGCUAAAAUGUUAGUCAGUUAUGUAGACCAUUUAUGCGACUGUCUUUUAGCAACAUCACUUGUGAUUUAAAGAUACCUAACAUUUGGUUUGUAUCUCAUACUAACUUGUCCAUUGUGGUCAAGUGUGAUCUCACGCAAGUAACUGGUCCAAGAAAGAGCCUCUUCCAGUUACUUAAUUGACAGUUAAAUUUUUGUACAAAAUAUAAGUGUUUUAUAAAUGCAGAACAUGUUUAAUAGAUGAUGCCUCCUCUCACUGUCCAUGCUGUAUACAGGUCUGUUACUACUUUAAUUUGAUUUUAAGUUCUCUUGGUACAAAGUAUACACGAGGUAGUACAUUUGCAUGUGUCAAAAUAGAAAUCAAUCGAGUUUUCAUUGAAAUGCCAAAGUAACGAAUUACAAACAAGUGGCAGGUAAACGGGCAACAAGUUGCGCCGCAACCCCCUUUUGAAUUGCAAAACCAAUUCUCCUAAAGACGAAACGACCCUUAAAGGUUGAGAGAUUAAUAUUCACGGCCCGUUGGACCCUGUUUAGAAAUUCCACAACCUCUAGGGCUAGGGAACCAAAUGUAUCAAAAGCGAAUGGGAUAUAUACAUGUUAAUUCUCUAAACAAGCCUUCUCAUGUUUAGCGACCUUGCUUGAUUCCGCCUUCAACGCAGCUUGGCCAGCAACAAACCCGUUAUCCCUGAGCCCAACAAGAGGGGACACUCCUGUAAGGUGGAAAAGGGCUUGAGAUCUGUUUUGGGUCAAGCACAGAGCUAUGAAAGCUAAACACGGGUACGUGAGCGGUUAACAGCUUGCCUUGGAAGUCACACGUUGAAUUUCAUUUGCGACUUUGAAGAGGAGGGUUUGGUUUUUAAAGUGUAUCUACCGUCAUAGUCUCAUGUAGUGCCACGUUUUGUUUUGUGUUAUUCAGUGGGGACAAUUUCAAUUUAUGGAUCUUAAUUGCUUAUGUUUUCUUAUUUCUAUGUAUGUUUCCUA